rnacentral:ncRNA from 1 species
AUAAAAUCGGUGAAGAAGAGGAGUAGGCAAUAAUCCAUUAAGAGAGGGAAGUCCAUAGGCUGAAAGACUUCCUAUGGCAAUUGUUGCUGAAGGUAGCUUCUGAGAUGCUAAAUUGAAAGUCAUGUGAUGAGUAGAUUUAGCCGGGAUAUCCCGUUAUAGAUUUUGAGAGUUAGCUUUAAAACUUUAAAGCUAAAAAUAAGGUGGUACCGCGGAAAAGGCCUUUUCGUCCUUAUA